rnacentral:rRNA from 1 species
CUACGGGUGCUGCAGUGGGGAAUAUUGGACAAUGGGGGAAACCCUGAUCCAGCAAUGCCGCGUGUGUGAAGAAAGCCUGCGGGUUGUAAAGCACUUUCGGUUGGGAGGACUGCUUCUAGCACUAAUAUUGUUGGAAGUUGACGUUACCUUCAGAAGAAGCACCGGCUAACUCCGUGCCAGCAGCCGCGGUAAUACGGAGGGUGCAAGCGUUAAUCGGAAUUACUGGGCGUAAAGCGCGCGUAGGCGGCUAGAUCAGUCGGGUGUGAAAGCCCCGGGCUUAACCUGGGAACUGCAUCCGAUACUGUCUAUCUUGAGUACAGGAUAGGGGAGUGGAAUACCACAUGUAUCGUUUAAAUGCGUAGAGAUGUGCAGGAACUACACUCGCGAAGUCAGCGCCCGGGUCUGAUAUUUAUGCUGGGCUGCCUAAGGGUGGCGGCCGAACAGGAUUAGAUACCCGUGUAGUC